rnacentral:rRNA from 1 species
UGGGGAAUAUUGCACAAUGGGCGCAAGCCUGAUGCAGCGACGCCGCGUGAGGGAUGGAGGCCUUCGGGUUGUAAACCUCUUUCGCCAGUGAAGCAGGCCAUCUUCUUUGUGGGGUGGUUGACGGUAGCUGGAUAAGAAGCGCCGGCUAACUACGUGCCAGCAGCCGCGGUAAUACGUAGGGCGCGAGCGUUGUCCGGAAUUAUUGGGCGUAAAGAGCUCGUAGGCGGCUGGUCGCGUCUGUCGUGAAAUCCCCUGGCUUAACUGGGGGCUUGCGGUGGGUACGGGCCGGCUUGAGUGCGGUAGGGGAGACUGGAAUUCCUGGUGUAGCGGAGGAAUGCGCAGAUAUCAGGAGGAACACCGGUGGCGAAGGCGGGUCUCUGGGCCGUUACUGACGCUGAGGAGCGAAAGCGUGGGGAGCGAACAGG